rnacentral:rRNA from 1 species
GAUGAACGCUGGCGGCGUGCCUAAUACAUGCAAGUCGAGCGAACGGACGAGAAGCUUGCUUCUCUGAUGUUAGCGGCGGACGGGUGAGUAACACGUGGAUAACCUACCUAUAAGACUGGGAUAACUUCGGGAAACCGUAGCUAAUACCGGAUAAUAUUUUGAACCGCAUGGUUCAAAAGUUAAAGACGGUCUUGCUGUCACUUAUAGAUUGAUCCGCGCUGCAUUAGCUAGUUGGUAAGGUAACGGCUUACCAAGGCAACGAUGCAUAGCCGACCUGAGCGGGUGAUCCGCCACACGGGAACUGAGACACGGUCCAGACUCCUACGGGAGGCAGCAGUAGGGAAUCUUCCGCGAUGGGCGAAAGCCUGACGGAGCAACGCCGCGUGAGUGAUGAAGGUCUUCGGAUCGUAAAACUCUGUUAUUAGGGAAGAAGAUAUGUGUAAGUACCUGUGCACAUCUUGACGGUACCUAAUCAGAAAGCCACGGCUAACUACGUG